CAAGCAGAGGCGCUGUGACACGCUCCCACAAGGCCUCUCAUUAGAAACAGAGCUGUCUGGCAAGCUGGACCAUAAACUUUAGAGAGGUCACCCCCCCAUCCUGUUCUUCUGCACUGUAAACAAGCAGAAAGGUGCCGAUGUGUGCGAUGCCAGGAAAGGUCAGGAGAUGAUUUACUGAACAUUUAUGGAGGCUUUAUCUUCAGUCCUUGUCACCAAUUCGGGUGAUGCUUCAUAGAGGGUCGCCAAACAGACGUGGAAAAAGAAAGAGCAUGACAACGCCACAACCGCAAUGACACAGUCUUUAACCAGUCCAACUCUUGGCAGGUACAGAACACUAAAGGACCAUUUUAUUUCUAAAUGAGUCUGAAUGGCGCACCACAAAGACUGGAAAUGCUGCUGCCCUUUCAUUUUAAAUGGCUAUCGGGUUCAUCAUGCACAUAAAACUCAUCACAGAACAUGAAUAUAAGCGGUUGGAGAAGAGACAGGAGAUGUGAACUGUCCCUCUGAAGUUUACUAAAAAUGUCUGAUGGUUUCGCCCAGACAGUUAGGAGAGCUGUGUCUGAAUGGGAUCCAAAUCUCUGGGCGGUCUCAGAGCGAACGGCGAGGCACUGAGUGCCAGAGACCCUUAGUCCCUCUGGAGUGGCUUUGAGUGAGGGAGCCAUUUUGGGCGGGGGCGAAGAGGAACUCUCAUCAUCCGUUGUCCUUCGGUUAACAGUUUGAAAAGGAUAACUCCACCAGCCGAAGGACUCCACAAAACCUAUUCUGAAUGGUUGGAGGUUGUUUUGUUUCAUCUAUGAUUGUACUAUACAACAGUGAAGUAGCAAAUUAACUGAGCUAUAGGAACUUGUAGAAACUCUUUCUAUUCUGUCUCAUUCUUAGAAUAUUUCAAUACAAGUUCAGUUCAGUUGGCAGCAUUUUUUACAUAAUCUCAACUGUGAGUGUGAUAUUGAUUUUAUACAAU